rnacentral:rRNA from 1 species
UUUGGUGGCGAUAGCGAAGAGGUCACACCCGUUCCCAUACCGAACGCGGAAGUUAAGCUCUUCAGCGCCGAUGGUAGUUGGGGGUUUCCCCCUGUGAGAGUAGGACGCCGCCAAGC